rnacentral:sRNA from 1 species
AACACCGUCCGGAACUUACGAUGUGAAA